GAUGAACGCUAGCUACAGGCUUAACACAUGCAAGUCGAGGGGAAACGCCAUCGAAAGCUUGCUUUUGAUGGGCGUCGACCGGCGCACGGGUGAGUAACGCGUAUCCAACCUGCCCACCACUUGGGGAUAACCUUGCGAAAGUAAGACUAAUACCCAAUGAUAUCUCUAGAAGACAUCUGAAAGAGAUUAAAGAUUUAUCGGUGAUGGAUGGGGAUGCGUCUGAUUAGCUUGUUGGCGGGGUAACGGCCCACCAAGGCAACGAUCAGUAGGGGUUCUGAGAGGAAGGUCCCCCACAUUGGAACUGAGACACGGGCCAAACUCCUACGGGAGGCAGCAGUGAGGAAUAUUGGUCAAUGGACGAGAGUCUGAACCAGCCAAGUAGCGUGCAGGAAGACGGCCCUAUGGGUUGUAAACUGCUUUUAUAAGGGAAUAAAGUGAGUCUCGUGAGACUUUUUGCAUGUACCUUAUGAAUAAGGACCGGCUAAUUCCGUG
rnacentral:rRNA from 1 species